AUUGAACGCUGGCGGCAGGCUUAACACAUGCAAGUCGAACGAGUGGCGGACGGGUGAGUAAUGUCUGGGAAACUGCCUGCUGGAGGGGGAUAACUACUGGAAACGGUAGCUAAUACCGCAUACCAUCAGAUGGGCCCAUAUGGGAUUAGCUAGUUGGUGGGGUAAAGGCCUACCAAGGCGCCGAUCCGUAACUGGUCUGAGAGGAUGAUCAGUCACACUGGGACUGAGACACGGGCCAGACUCCGACGGGAGGCAGCAGUGGGGAAUAUUGGACAAUGGGGGAAAGCCUGAGCCAGCCAUGCCGCGUGUGUGAAGAAGGUCUUCGGAUUGUAAAGUACUUUAAGUUGGGAGGCGGUACCAACAGAAUAAGCACCGGCUAACUUCGUGCCAGCCGCCGCGGUAAUUC
rnacentral:rRNA from 1 species